UGCAGUCGAGGGGUAUAGUAGCAAUACUAGAGACCGGCGCACGGGUGCGUAACGCGUAUGCAAUCUACCUUAUACAGAGGGAUAGCCCAGAGAAAUUUGGAUUAAUACCUCAUAGCAUAGCAACUUCGCAUGAAGUCACUAUUAAAGUUCCAACGGUAUAAGAUGAGCAUGCGUCCUAUUAGCUAGAUGGUAAGGUAACGGCUUACCAUGGCUACGAUAGGUAGGGGUCCUGAGAGGGAGAUCCCCCACACUGGUACUGAGACACGGACCAGACUCCUACGGGAGGCAGCAGUGAGGAAUAUUGGACAAUGGGCGCAAGCCUGAUCCAGCCAUGCCGCGUGCAGGAAGACGCGUCUAUGGUGUGUAAACUGCUUUUGUACGGGAAGAAACACUCCCUCGUGAGGGAGCUUGACGGUACCGUAAGAAUAAGGAUCGGCUAACUCCGUGCCAGCAGCCGCGGUAAUACGGAGGAUCCAAGCGUUAUCCGGAAUCAUUGGGUUUAAAGGGUCCGUAGGCGGUUUGGUAAGUCAGUGGUGAAAGCCCAUCGCUUAACGAUGGAACGGCCAUUGAUACUGCCAGACUUGAAUUACUGGGAAGUAACUAGAAUAUGUAGUGUAGCGGUGAAAUGCUU
rnacentral:rRNA from 1 species